AGUGAACGCUGGCGGUAGUCCUAACACAUGCAAGUCGAACGGCAGCACAGUAAGAGCUUGCUCUUACGGGUGGCGGGUGGCGGACGGGUGAGGAAUACAUCGGAAUCUACUUUUUCGUGGGGGAUAACGUAGGGAAACUUACGCUAAUACCGCAUACGACCUACGGGUGAAAGCAGGGGAUCUUCGGACCUUGCGCGAUUGAUUGAGCCGAUGUCGGAUUAGCUAGUUGGCGGGGUAAAGGCCCACCAAGGCGACGAUCCGUAGCUGGUCUGAGAGGAUGAUCAGCCACACUGGAACUGAGACACGGUCCAGACUCCUACGGGAGGCAGCAGUGGGGAAUAUUGGACAAUGGGCGCAAGCCUGAUCCAGCCAUACCGCGUGGGUGAAGAAGGCCUUCGGGUUGUAAAGCCCUUUUGUUGGGAAAGAAAAGCAGCAGGUUAAGACCCCGCUGUUCUGACGGUACCCAAAGAAUAAACACCGGCUAACUUCGU
rnacentral:rRNA from 1 species